UACGAAGGGGGCGAGCGUUGUUCGGAAUUACUGGGCGUAAAGAGCGCGUAGGCGGUCCGGUAAGUCCGCUCUGAAAGUCCGGGGCUCAACCCCGGGAGGCGGGCGGAUACUGUCGGGCUAGAGUCCGGAAGAGGCGAGUGGAAUUCCUGGUGUAGCGGUGAAAUGCGCAGAUAUCUGGAGGAACACCGGUGGCGAAGGCGGCAUCCUGGACCGGUAUUGACGCUGAGGCGCGAAAGCUAGGGGAGCAAACGGG
rnacentral:rRNA from 1 species